rnacentral:lncRNA from 1 species
GAUGUGGAAGACAAGAAUAUGAAAGACUGGAUCCACUCAUGCAUAAGGCAAUCCACAGGAGAGAAGGGAGGCAGCUGUUGCAUGCCUCAAGAGACCUUCUGAUGCCAAAAAACAAACACUACUUUGUAUGGAUCCCUGCUGGAAAAGGCACACAGUUCAGAUUGUGUUAAAUGAUCAACAUCCUCAAAGCCAUCAGAAUGUGGCAUUCAACUCUCAUUAGGAGAUGGCCAUUAAGUGCAGGUUAAGGUGCAGCAUCAGCAACAGCUGAGUCCUGGCAUCACUGUGUAUCUGGUGAGUGCAGUGAAGCAAGGUGAAAAGGAUGUGGGUAAUUCAUCACACAUCUUUGGCAAUUUUUGGCAACAGUAUGUCUCUCAGCACCAACAAAGUGCUGAAUAGAAACAUGUAAUGUUCUUAAUCAUAAAAAGCCAAAUUUUCAUAAUAUCUAGCAAUCUCAAGCAGAAAUGUACCUGCUGCACUAACAUGUAAUAUGCGUUCAGUCACAUAACUGGGCAACCAAGUAGCUUCUUAGGCAUUGCUAGCAAUUUACACAGACAAUUGUGGUAAAUCCAUUCACAGCUGUAGUUAAUGCAUACCACUCUAGAAGUAGGUACUGAAAAUCUAAUUCAUAGAGCUAGUUUUUUUUAAGGGGCCUCCUUUUUUGCCACCUAAA